rnacentral:ribozyme from 14 species
AAGAAGAAGAAGAAGAGAAUAACAACAGGAAAAAUAUGGGACCUCGUUCUCGUUCUCGUCCUCGUCCUCCUCGUCCUUAUCUUUCGUUUUUCUUCUUCUUAAUA